AAGGAAGGGUCUAUUGCAAAUUGAAAUUAUUGUCUCUGUAUAUCUUUUAUUGCCUGAAACAUUUGACUUCUUAUGAUGUGACCCACGUUAGCCACUCCUUGAUUUUGUUAAGAUCACGUUUGGGUGGCCGGUGCUCCACCACAGACUGUAAACACAUGUUAUGUAAUCAUAGAAUUCUUUUUGCUAUAGAUUAGCCAAAAUAAAAAAGGAACAUGAAACGAGUCCUCUUCCUUCAGAUGAGGCAACAAUACAAAAUUUUCCGUUUAACAAGUUUGAACUGCAAUGUUUCUUUCAUGGUACAUCUAAAUUUCUAAACAAGUUGAUGCAGAAGGCCUACUUAUUUCAUGAAGCUCUCUGAAGUGGGUUUCUAGAACAGGAUAUGUCAUACUAACAUUAAUACUUUCCUGAUGGCUCUCUUGCUGCUAAAUCUGCAAUUUCAGAUCACAGAAUAGGAAAGGACCAGCACAACUGGUACUUGGGAGAUAAUAAAAUUGUUGUCUUGGUAAUGAAUAAUGAUUCUUACAGCUGAUUGAUUGGUUGAGGUGAGAUAAGGGGGACAUGAUUUAAUUUAUGUAACGAGAUGGAAUCUCCACAGGCAAUGAACCAUUAUAUAAAAAAUGGGAUUCCUGCAACUUCCUCUUUCCAUGGCUGUAAACUGAGUUGAUCAUUUAUGCCUUUCAAGUGGUUCACUUUUUGUCUGUUUGGUAGGAUUUUGGAUUAUGAACUUUUGAUUAACAAAAUGUGAGAAUUCAGAUCCUCAAGAUAUGAAAAGAAAACAAAAGAGGUUGGUAUGAUAUAAGGUUUUCUUUAAGCCAGUCAUCAAUAGGAAGAAAUAUUAGUGAUACUUGUUAUCAUGAAUUAUUUGUAUCAAAUCAACUGUCACUGCAUGUGGACUACAAUGUACACACACUCAAAAGCUCCCUUCCUAUGCAGACUAUAUUUUCCCCCUCCUAUCAAGUGUUUCUAUACCUUAACUAUAUGUGACUGUUUCGGCAUUUGAUGUUGAA